ACGAACGCUGGCGGCAUGCCUAGCACAUGCAAGUCGAACGAAGGCUUCGGCCUUAGUGGCGCACGGGUGCGUAACGCGUGGGAAUCUGCCCUUUGGUUCGGAAUAACAGCUGGAAACGGCUGCUAAUACCGGAUGAUGACGAAAGUCCAAAGAUUUAUCGCCAGAGGAUGAGCCCGCGUUGGAUUAGGUAGUUGGUGGGGUAAAGGCCUACCAAGCCGACGAUCCAUAGCUGGUCUGAGAGGAUGAUCAGCCACACUGGGACUGAGACACGGCCCAGACUCCUACGGGAGGCAGCAGUGGGGAAUAUUGGACAAUGGGCGCAAGCCUGAUCCAGCAAUGCCGCGUGAGUGAUGAAGGCCCUAGGGUUGUAAAGCUCUUUUACCCGGGAAGAUAAUGACUGUACCGGGAGAAUAAGCCCCGGCUAACUCCGUG
rnacentral:rRNA from 1 species